UACCAUGCAGUCGAGCGGAGUGAUGGUGCUUGCACUAUCACUUAGCGGCGGACGGGUGAGUAAUGCUUAGGAAUCUGCCUAUUAGUGGGGGACAACAUUUCGAAAGGAAUGCUAAUACCGCAUACGUCCUACGGGAGAAAGCAGGGGAUCUUCGGACCUUGCGCUAAUAGAUGAGCCUAAGUCGGAUUAGCUAGUUGGUGGGGUAAAGGCCUACCAAGGCGACGAUCUGUAGCGGGUCUGAGAGGAUGAUCCGCCACACUGGGACUGAGACACGGCCCAGACUCCUACGGGAGGCAGCAGUGGGGAAUAUUGGACAAUGGGCGCAAGCCUGAUCCAGCCAUGCCGCGUGUGUGAAGAAGGCCUUAUGGUUGUAAAGCACUUUAAGCGAGGAGGAGGCUACUGAAGUUAAUACCUUCAGAUAGUGGACGUUACUCGCAGAAUAAGCACCGGCUAACUCUGUGCCAGCAGCCGCGGUAAUACAGAGGGUGCAAGCGUUAAUCGGAUUUACUGGGCGUAAAGCGCGCGUAGGCGGCUAAUUAAGUCAAAUGUGAAAUCCCCGAGCUUAACUUGGGAAUUGCAUUCGAUACUGGUUAGCUAGAGUGUGGGAGAGGAUGGUAGAAUUCCAGGUGUAGCGGUGAAAUGCGUAGAGAUCUGGAGGAAUACCGAUGGCGAAGGCAGCCAUCUGGCCUAACACUGACGCUGAGGUGCGAAAGCAUGGGGAGCAAACAGGAUUAGAUACCCUGGUAGUCCAUGCCGUAAACGAUGUCUACUAGCCGUUGGGGCCUUUGAGGCUUUAGUGGCGCAGCUAACGCGAUAAGUAGACCGCCUGGGGAGUACGGUCGCAAGACUAAAACUCAAAUGAAUUGACNGGGGNCCCGCACAAGCGGUGGAGCAUGUGGUUUAAUUCGAUGCAACGCGAANAACCUUACCUGGCCUUGACAUAUAAGAACUUUCCANANAUGGAUUGGUGCCNUUCNGGNAACUUACAUACAGGUGCUGCAUGGNUGUCNNCAGCUCNNGUCNUGAAAUGUUGGNUUAANUCCCCCCAAC
rnacentral:rRNA from 1 species